CGCGUAGGCGGCCCGUCAAGUCCCGUGUGAAAGCCCCCGGCUCAACCGGGGAACGGCGCGGGAAACUAGCAGGCUUGAGUUCGGGAGAGGGAAGCGGAAUUCCGGGUGUAGCGGUGAAAUGCGCAGAUAUCCGGAGGAACACCGGUGGCGAAGGCGGCUUCCUGGACCGACACUGACGCUGAGGCGCGAAAGCUAGGGGAGCAAACG
rnacentral:rRNA from 1 species